rnacentral:rRNA from 1 species
GAUGAACGCUGACAGAAUGCUUAACACAUGCAAGUCGAACUGUGGCGGACGGGUGAGUAACGCGUAAAGAACUUACCUCCCAGUUAGGGACAACAUCUGGAAACGAAUGCUAAUACCUAAUACUGUGAGAGGGCUUUGCGGCCCAUUAGCUAGUUGGGGAGGUAACGGCUCACCAAGGCGAUGAUGGGUAGCCGGCCUGAGAGGGUGAUCGGCCACAAGUGGACUGGGACACGACCCUUACUCAUACGUGGGGAAGCGGUGGGGAAUAUGGGACGAUGUACCGAAGUGUGAUCAAGGAAUUCUGUGUGUAAGGUGAUGUUUUCGGAAGGUAGAGUGCUUUCUGUAUAGAAGCGUUACCAGCAGAAGAAGUGACGGCUAACUCCGUGCCAGCAGCCGCGGUAAUAC